UGCUCUUUGUACUCCAGCGCCCGGCAGUCUUUCGGUAAUAGAUGCGCACGCGGUACGCUACUCACCUGUCUUGGCCGACACAGACCAGUACUCUGCCUGCAUCUCAUUGGCCAGAUGCACAGCCUCUGCUUCCGCUUGCUCGCAUGCUGCCCCUGACUGGAAGAAACAACCCUGGGCUGACUUCGUAUCUUGGCCCUCCUUGCGGGGGCUGCCUAGGGUGGCCUCCUCUCCCCACCCCUGUUUCUCACAUCACCCCAAGCAAGUGGGUGUGGUGGGGUGUCCCAGGGCAGGGAUGCUGCUUGCCCAGAGCUGACACUGAAGUGCUCCCCAGAGAAGUGAGGGAUCCCUGCCCUCUUCAGUUGCAUAACCCCAUCAUAGGCUUUGAAGUCCAACACAAAGCAUGUCAGUAUCCUUCAGUGCCCCUCAAGUAGGCUGCAAACACAGGAAUUUUCUGGAAGGCCGGUCAGGGAUGGGCCUCCAGCUUCACUCCGCUUACCAAGAGAUCCUUCUUGGUUCCCACGAGGAAGACGAAGCAAGAGCCCGCCUCGUUCUCCCUCAGCACGUCCUCCAGCCACUGCCUGGAAUGCACAGAGUGGAAACGAGACUUGUGCUUAGCCAGGAGGGACAGGGACGGCACCCUGACCUACACUGACUUAGUGGGAUACUGGUGCUGGAGUUAGAAGGCCUCCGUGGGACCAGAGUGAGCUGGAAAUACGAAGGCACCGGUUUGGGAGAGGGUCUGGAUGUCAGUGAGGUCAAAGGCUGUGAUGAUCACUGGACACACAGGGAAACCCAACAGCCAAUCAGCAACAGGUGUGCUGGCCGAAGGCUCUCCUACGUAGCUUCCAAGACCAGAAGGUACUACUGGGGUGGGCCCACUGUGGAGACUAGGGACGAGUCACCCUGGGGUCGCCCCUUGGACCUGCCUUUCCACCAGACCUCUCCAAACCCAACAAACCUGUGCCUAGCAGCCUAGCCAGGGGUGGGGGAUGUCAGAGACAGAGGCCCAGAGCAUCAGACCCUGGCAAGAGAUCCUCUGCUACUCAUGGCCCAGUGGGCUUGGUUAGGGCUGUAGCGAUGGAGAAUCUGCUGCAUUCCCGUCUGUAUGUCGGGUGAGAAUGACACCCCUAGCUGUCGGGAGGGGUAGUGUUUUGAAAGCUGGUAGUCAACGGCCUGACCCUGGGUAGACUUUUCAUGGAAGGAUGGGGAUCAAUUAAAUGGAAAUGGCUUUGGUAGAGCUACGUGAGGAGAAGCCUGUGGCCAGCUCUCUCAUCAUACAGUCUGCCCUGGAUUCCCAAGGGGAAGGCCACAGCACCGUCCAUGGUCCGGUCAGAGGUCUGCUCUCGGCUGCCCUACUGUGCGCGCGAGCAGGCUGGACAAGGGCUUCCUUCCUGCUUUGGCUGACUAUAAUCGUACUGGUGGUAGGCUCAGUGAGGUGCGGGGCCCCUCACACUGCUAGCCCCAGGGAAGCAGCGGCCCCCUCAGGAAGAAAUGUUAGGCGAGGGGAUGGCUGGAGGAGGCCACAGUGCCGGAGGCUCCGCCCACUGCUCGUGUCCUGUUCCCCCUUCUUUAAGCGGGGAAGCAACCUCAGUGAUUCAUUCUUACAUCAACUUGGCCGAGAAGACAGAACCAUGCCUGUCCUGUGAGACUAAUCUGGGAUCUAUUUGAUGGUUCUCCACCUUCUAUUGCCUUCUAUUUCUGUCUCCGUCCUCAGCCCCCAGCUGCCCCUGGCUAUGUUGGCAGUGGGCACGGAGGCACCUGUAUGGGACCUGCCAAUCCUGCUGGGUCCACCUGUCACCCCUCUCUGGCGAAGAGAGGAAAAAGCCUCUCUUCCUUGUCACCUGGAGUAUGAAUGAUGUCAUCUCUCUUUCUCUGGGACCCUUACACAAGAAAUGUUCUUUUCUGAGCUGUAAACUGGGGGCUGAGGCAGUCUGCACCUGAUACUUCCGAUACUCCCUAAGGGCAUGGCUGUCCAAGACAGUCAGGGCCUAGAGUCCUGGGUAGCUCCUUCCUUGCUUAGCGCUGGCUGCAGGGCUCUAUCCAAGGGGCUCCUGGAGGACAGAGAGGCGGCGUUUGUGCCGGUGGCAUAAGUUGAGAGCGCGAGCUUCCAUUCGGCUGCUCACCCUGGGCACCUCGGUAGUAGGCUGAUGCAAUACACUUGAACUUCUCCUGC